rnacentral:rRNA from 1 species
AGUGAACGCUGGCGGUAGGCCUAACACAUGCAAGUCGAACGGCAGCACAGUAAGAGCUUGCUCUUACGGGUGGCGAGUGGCGGACGGGUGAGGAAUACAUCGGAAUCUACUUUUUCGUGGGGGAUAACGUAGGGAAACUUACGCUAAUACCGCAUACGACCUACGGGUGAAAGCAGGGGAUCUUCGGACCUUGCGCGAUUGAAUGAGCCGAUGUCGGAUUAGCUAGUUGGCGGGGUAAGGGCCCACCAAGGCGACGAUCCGUAGCGGGUCUGAGAGGAUGAUCAGCCACACUGGAACUGAGACACGGUCCAGACUCCUACGGGAGGCAGCAGUGGGGAAUAUUGGACAAUGGGCGCAAGCCUGAUCCAGCCAUACCGCGUGGGUGAAGAAGGCCUUCGGGUUGUAAAGCCCUUUUGUUGGGAAAGAAAAGAAGCAGGUUAAUACCCCGCUGUUCUGACGGUACCCAAAGAAUAAGCACCGGCUAACUUCGU